AAUAGAUACCCGGGUAGUCCACCCCGUAAACGUUGGGAACUAGUUGUGGGUCCUUUCCACGGAUUCCGUGACGCAGCUAACGCAUUAAGUUCCCCGCCUGGGGAGUACGGCCGCAAGGCUAAAACUCAAAGGAAUUGACGGGGACCCGCACAAGCGGCGGAGCAUGCGGAUUAAUUCGAUGCAACGCGAAGAACCUUACCAAGGCUUGACAUACACCGGAAACGGCCAGAGAUGGUCGCCCCGCAAGGUCGGUGUACAGGUGGUGCAUGGUUGUCGUCAGCUCGUGUCGUGAGAUGUUGGGUUAAGUCCCGCAACGAGCGCAACCCUCGUUCUAUGUUGCCAGCACGUAAUGGUGGGAACUCAUGGGAUACUGCCGGGGUCAACUCGGAGGAAGGUGGGGAUGACGUCAAAUCAUCAUGCCCCUUAUGUCUUGGGCUUCACGCAUGCUACAAUGGCCGGUACAAAGGGCUGCAAUACCGUGAGGUGGAGCGAAUCCCAAAAGCCGGUCCCAGUUCGGAUUGAGGUCUGCAACUCGACCUCAUGAA
rnacentral:rRNA from 1 species